rnacentral:rRNA from 1 species
GAUGAACGCUGGCGGCGUGCCUAAUACAUGCAAGUCGAGCGAACAGACGAGGAGCUUGCUCCUCUGACGUUAGCGGCGGACGGGUGAGUAACACGUGGAUAACCUACCUAUAAGACUGGGAUAACUUCGGGAAACCGGAGCUAAUACCGGAUAAUAUAUUGAACCGCAUGGUUCAAUAGUGAAAGACGGUUUUGCUGUCACUUAUAGAUGGAUCCGCGCCGCAUUAGCUAGUUGGUAAGGUAACGGCUUACCAAGGCGACGAUGCGUAGCCGACCUGAGAGGGUGAUCGGCCACACUGGAACUGAGACGCGGUCCAGACUCCUACGGGAGGCAGCAGUAGGGAAUCUUCCGCAAUGGGCGAAAGCCUGACGGGGCAACGCCGCGUGAGUGAUGAAGGUCUUCGGAUCGUAAAACUCUGUUAUUAGGGAAGAACAAAUGUGUAAGUAACUAUGCACGUCUUGACGGUACCUAAUCAGAAAGCCACGGCUAACUACGUG